GCAAAAAAUAACACUUCUUACGCUCUAGCUGCCUAAAAACCAGCAGGCGUGACCCGAUUUGGAUUGCUCGUGUUCAAUGACAGGUCUUAUUAUUAGCGAGAUACGAUUAAGCCUUGUCUAGCGGCUUGAUAAGAGAUUGAUAGACUCGCAGUUUCUAGACUUGAGUUAUGUGUCGAGGGGCUGUUAAAAUAAUACAUAACCUAUGGUUGUAGACAAAUAUGUUGGCAGGUGUUUGGACGUGGGUUCGACUCCCACCGGCUCCAUUA
rnacentral:tmRNA from 1 species